UACGUAGGUGGCAAGCGUUGUCCGGAUUUAUUGGGUUUAAAGGGUGCGUAGGUGGUCUAUUAAGUCAGUGCUGAAAUAUCCCGGCUUAACCGGGAGGGUGGCAUUGAUACUGAUGGACUUGAGUAGAGUCGAGGUAGGCGGAAUUGACGGUGUAGCGGUGAAAUGCUUAGAUAUCGUCAAGAACACCUAUAGCGAAGGCAGCUUACUAGGCUCUAACUGACACUGAGGCACGAAAGUGUGGGGAGCAAACGGG
rnacentral:rRNA from 1 species